UCGUUUUUAGGGUUCCGUAGCCAAAUGGCAAAAAACGGAACCCUUAUAGAUUCGUCAUGUCUGUCUGUCUGUCUGUCCGCGUCACAGCCACUUUUUUCCGAAACUAUAAGGACUAUACUGUUGAAACUUGGUAAGUAGAUGUAUUCUGUGAACCGCAUUAUGAUUUUCACACAAAAA